UCUUUGCUUCUCAAAGGUGAUGUCAGAGACCAGCAGCCAUGAAAUUAUCUGCAAGCUCAUUCAAAUUGCAUAAUCCUAGUAACUCAGAAUCUGCAUUUAAACAAAACCCCUAAGCAAUAUGAAUGCACACUGGAGUUUAAGAAGCACUGUUCCAAUUAACCCAUAACACAUCCCCCUUAAAGGACCAUCCUACAGCCCCUCUGUGAUUUGCCAGAGUGGAACUAUGUGGUUCAAACCCUCAGUCUCCCCAGGUACUGGCUCUGUAUGAAGCCCUAUUUUAAAUGCUUCUACAGACAACCAUUCAUUUUAACCUUGCUACAGCUCUGUGGGACUGGCUUACUAUUAUUCUUAACUGGAAUAAAACAAGGUUCAGAGAAGUGAAGUGACUUGUCCAAGCUAGUGACGGAUUCAGGAUUUUAAUACAGGUUCCAUUUGAUUCCAAAGUUGGUUCUCUUUACAAUAAAACAGAUGUCACCGUGCUUCAUCCAGAAACAGGUGAGCACAGAGUAGGUGAGACAGCUGGUGCAAUCCUAGCUCUUCUUGCUUUGGACUGAAACUUGCAAGACCCUUUCUCUGCUGCUGCCUGAAACUUGCAAGACCCUUACUCUGCUGCUAGCAAUGAAAGAGAGACCAGUUGUCCUGCUCCAGCAGCAAGUCAAUAUCUCACCUUGAAAAUGACUAAAAAAAAAAAAAAAGUGGUGUUCUCAUCACCACUGAGAACUCCCCCAAGAGAACACAGUCUGUUUGGCCUCUUGGUAGGACCCUUCUGGAUAUGUAGUUCAUUUCCUCUUCAGCAGAAAAUUUGGUCUCUUGAGUAUUAAAACGUAUGCUUUUCUUUUGUGUUCUCUUUUUGCAAGCCAAAAAUCAUCCAACCAGACAACCCUUUCUCUGUCAUGUAUGGGACAUGUACAAUUUUUAAAUAGUUGUUAAAAAAAAAAUUGGAACUUCAGUUUAAAUGGACUAAAACUUCCUACGUAGCGUGCAACUGGGGUCAGUAUGGCCAAGAUGUUAAGUGCCCGUGAAGUCACCUCUUUUGUCUUUUAAAAGGAUAAUCAAUGCCAUAGACUAGGUUGAAAACUAGAUCCAAGCAGAGGCCCCUCACAUUCCUUGGGCAUGUAAAAUGGACAAGUAGUAGACUGAAUUGUCAUUUCUUCAUAAAAGUGGUUGCCAGGAUUUGGGUCUGUAUGAGUCAGAGCAGCCUAGCUACUCCAACGAACAGCAAGUCUCACAGGCCUAUCAAAAGAGCUGUUUCCUGCUUUUGCUCACAUCAUAAUCUGAUGCAAGUGAGGCAGGGGAGGGGGCGAGAGGAGGGGAAGAGUGAGUGGGAAGGUAGUGCUCUGCUCCGCCCAGACAUUCAGGCUGAUAAUUCUUCUGAGGGCUGCAUCUGCCAUCUUCCAGAACUGCAAUGUCCAAUAUGGCAGUGAUGUCAUAUGUGACCAUUUAUAUUUAAAUGAAUCAAAAGUAAAAAUUCACUUUCUCUGUUGCAUUAGCCAUAUUUCCAGUUCUCAAAAGCCACAUGUGACUAGAUUCUACUAUACUAGAUGCACAGAAUAGAAGAUUUCCAUAAUUCCAGAAAAUUCUAUUUGACCACUUCCUCUAAAUUUCAGAGUGCUCCACCGGAUUGUCUGAAUCCGACCUGCAGACAAGAAAAGAGAAGGUAAAGAGUCAGUGAGGACUAACCCACAGCCCCAGGCCCCUUCUAUUUCUGUCAUGUUGUGGAGCACUGACCUUUUACAAAAGCUCUCCAGGGGAUUCAGAGCUUUGGGAACCAAUGAUGCCAAGAGCUGGGCAACGUGAUCUCUACUGCUGCUUCCAAGCCUGACAGCAUUAUCCUCCACGAACCUCUCCUUUGUAACCUUUUGGAGGAUUCUGAGGAUGCCAGACGUGAAAAGUGCCUGGCACAGUGCUUGGUAUGUAGGAGGCAUGGGAUGAACUGUGUUAGCCAGUGGCCUGCACAAGCUUAUCUUCACCCCUGCAGGGAUGGGCUGAUCACUGCCUCUCCAGGCAGCCAUUUUCAUGGAUGGUCAGCUAGGCUAUGAAACAGUUCAUUCUCUGGAGGUGCCAAAGCCAGUUUCCCAGUGAUUCGCAUCAGCCCGGUUUCACUUUUGUCUUCUGCUGUUAGACAUUUCCUCUUGUCAGAGCAGAAACCUCAGACUUCAUAUUCUGUGGAUAAAUCACCCUCGAAUUGCUCCCCCCUUCCUCAAUCACCGCCAAAAAAUGCAAAAAUAACCAGAUUCUUAGCCUAAACACAAGCACUUUCCAUGUACUAUCUAAUCCAAACAUCCCAAAAACACAAGUUUAAAAACAUGCUGGAGAUCACACAGCUAAAAAGUCACAAAUCAAGCCUAGACCCCAAGGGGUCUAACUCCAAGUUCAUGGACUUAACCACCUCACAAUAUUCUUGCCUGUCUGAGCCCUUUAGCUAUUCAGCAGUGAAACCUGUUACCGUGAGAUGGCACUCCUGAUCACAGAUCCUUAGCUGGUGGCAGUGCUGGUGUUUACAGCCAGGUUUUCCAGAGUCAUUGUGGUUUGUGAAAAGGAAUAAUCACAGCAGAUCUGGGCUAAAUGCAGGUUGCCGCUAGAAGACAUGGCAAAUGAUGGCUGGCAUUGCAAAUACAGGCAAAAAACAUACACAUACAUGAAAAAAUAGCAGAGGAAGAGGCAAACUGCAGAGGGCAUAGAA
rnacentral:lncRNA from 1 species